UAUCCGCUCCAACCUAGACUAUCGUUGAGCNUAGAUCGGAUUAGCUAGUUGGUGGGGUAAUGGCUCACCAAGGCGACGAUCCGUAACUGGUCUGAGAGGAUGAUCAGUCACACUGGAACUGAUACACGGUCCAGACUCCUACGGGAGGCAGCAGUGGGGAAUAUUGGACAAUGGGCGAAAGCCUGAUCCAGCCUUGCCGCGUGUGUGAAGAAGGUCUUCGGAUUGUAAAGCACUUUAAGUUGGGAGGAAGGGCAGUAAAUUAACACUUUGCUGUUUUGACGUUACCGACAGAAUAAGCACCGGCUAACUCUGUGCCAGCAGCCGCGGUAAUACAGAGGGUGCAAGCGUUACUCGGAAUUACUGGGCGUAAAGCGCGCGUAGGUGGUUCGUUAAGUUGUAUGUGAAAUCCCCGGGCUCAACCUGGGAACUGCACUCAAAACUGACGAGCUAGA
rnacentral:rRNA from 1 species